rnacentral:misc_RNA from 1 species
UCCGGAGUUUCUCCGGCAGUCUCACAUGAGUGCUCGGCAUAACCCGGUGGCGACAUGUGACGGGGGUUGCGCUCGUUGCGGCACUUAAGCCAACACCUCACGACACGAGCUGACGACAGCCAUGCAGCACCUGUCUCCAGGUUCCCGAAGGCACCCCCACAUCUCUGCGGGGUUCCUGGGAUGUCAAGACCAGGUAAGGUUCUUCGCGUUGCAUCGAAUUAAACCACAUGCUCCACCGCUUGUGCGGGUCCCCGUCAAUUCCUUUGAGUUUUAGCCUUGCGGCCGUACUCCCCAGGCGGGGUGCUUAAUGCGUUAGCUGCGGCACGGAUCGCGUCGAUAGCGACCCACACCUAGCACCCAUCGUUUACGGCGUGGACUAC